rnacentral:lncRNA from 1 species
UUUGCCUCUGUGUUUAUUUUUUAUUUUUUCAUUUUUAUGGUAUUUCUUUCUCUGUUUAUUUCUUAUUACUUUAGCUUCUUCAUUGGUGAAUUCGUUGUCCAUAUAUAGGGUUUAACCAUUGACAUAGAAACCCUACUUUUCAUCAUCAAGUGUAUUCCCUUAUCUUAUUGGGUGAGGUUCAUACUCCUUUAAGUUCAUAUUCC